CAGUAGCCACGGUAAUACGGAGGGUGCAAGCGUUAAUCGGAAUUACUGGGCGUAAAGCGCACGCAGGCGGUUUGUUAAGUCAGAUGUGAAAUCCCCGAGCUUAACUUGGGAACUGCAUUUGAAACUGGCAAGCUAGAGUCUUGUAGAGGGGGGUAGAAUUCCAGGUGUAGCGGUGAAAUGCGUAGUGAUCUGGAGGAAUACCGGUGGCGAAGGCGGCCCCCUGGACAAAGACUGACGCUCAGGUGCGAAAGCGUGGGGAGCAAACAGGAUUAGAUACCCCUGUAGUCCCUGUCUCUUAUAC
rnacentral:rRNA from 1 species